UCUUUUCAAUCUCUUUUUAAACGAUUCUCUUUUGGUGAGCUGUUAACUCUGAUUUCACUAUCCAUUAGACAUUAAAAAAUACCUUUGAUCUCUCUCCUCCCAUCUCCAAGAUGGCACCUACAAAGAUGCAAUCACUAUGGAAGAUCUUCUCUCAUUCAGUAUCAGAUCUGGAGCAGCCACACCUUUCUUCACUGAACUAACCCUGACCAAGGUGGAAGUCCCAGGCCCAGACUAUAGUCAAGUUUGACAGAAUGCCCUGCAGCUGACUUGUGUCCAGUGAAGAAGAAAUAUAAAACAUCUCUUUAAAAAAUGUUGCUAAGUGGUGCCUUGGUGGCUCAGUCACUAAGCGUCUGCCUGGAGAAAGUUAUUUAGUCAUCAUGGGUCUCAGUUUUCUCAUCUACUAAAAAAAUAAUAAAGCCAUA